rnacentral:rRNA from 1 species
AACGAACGCUGGCGGCAUGCCUAACACAUGCAAGUCGAACGAGACCUUCGGGUCUAUUGGCGCACGGGUGCGUAACGCGUGGGAACCUUCCCUUAGGUUCGGAAUAACUCCCCGAAAGGGGUGCUAAUACCGGAUAAUGUCUUCGGACCAAAGAUUUAUCGCCUUUGGAUGGUCCCGCGUUGGAUUAGCUAGUUGGUAGGGUAAAAGCCUACCAAGGCGACGAUCCAUAGCUGGUCUGAGAGGAUGAUCAGCCACACUGGGACUGAGACACGGCCCAGACUCCUACGGGAGGCAGCAGUGGGGAAUAUUGGACAAUGGGCGAAAGCCUGAUCCAGCAAUGCCGCGUGAGUGAUGAAGGCCUUAGGGUUGUAAAGCUCUUUUACCCGGGAUGAUAAUGACAGUACCGGGAGAAUAAGCUCCGGCUAACUCCGUG